CAGGGGGUAGUUUAAUUAAAAUAAUAGUUUUGGAGAUUGUUGAUAGGGCAAAGGGCUCUGUUCCUGA
rnacentral:tRNA from 1 species